rnacentral:lncRNA from 1 species
CCCGGCCGUGCCCCACGGCAAGGUGCAGCCGCUGGGCGGGCGGGAGCGGCGGCUGCGGCCGGACAGCGGGACGGUCAGCAGCUUCUUCCAAGUCAGAGCGGCCGUGCCUUCGGAGAGCCCAGCCUGCCACGGGCGCUCCGGGCAGGGCGAGGACAGGCAGCGCCGGGCUCGGAAGGACUCUGCAAAGGAGCUGAUCUGCCCCUGGGAGACCCCCACGGAGGAGGGGAGAGCGGGGUAAGCCCAGCACGCACGCUCCUGCCAGGCCUGAGAUGCAGCGUCCGCCAUGCAUGGCUCAGCACAUGCUGGAAAAGUGUGUUAGAGCCAUCCUCCAGCACCAGGGACACCCAGACCACCACAGCUCCAGAUAACAGCCCCUGCUGUGCCCAGCUGUUUGUCAUCCAAGAGCUCCAAGCCUUUCUGGACUGGUUUUCUUUCCUGUCUUUGGUGUGUUCAGUCCUGCUCGUGACAGACUUGUCGAUAAACGAGCCUGGUUUCAUGCCUUGGAGCAGAUGGAGGACGUGUGGGUGAUGUCCUGGGAAGCGGUGUCUUAUCGGAGUUUCUGGCUUGGCCAUGAGGUGUCAGCACACUGAACACAGCCCAGCUGGAGCAGGGCUGGCAGAGCAGGACUCAGGCUUCGGUGCCAAAACUGGGCCAUGUUUGUGUUCCCAGCCCAGGCCCAUCUCCUAAUAAUUACAAUUUCUUAAUUUGAAAGCAUGCUGAUGAAGAGACUGGGGAAAAUGGAGUGCCCCUCAUGAGAUGCUGCGUGCUGAGUGGCAAAGCAUCAUUCCUUCAUCCAAACCAAACAUGAUCCCAGAGGCAUCAAGGAGCGCAGAGCCCUCCUGCAUUAGCUCCAGCUUCCCAGUGCAUGGGUUUGAAACCAUGGCCUGACCUGGAAACACCUGGGAGAUCCAAGCCAAGUCCCUGUUGGUGUUUUGGGCCUCUCCAAGCUGGGAUUUAUGUGUUGCCACAGGCUGUGCUGAUAUUGACUUGGACUGUUGCCUUCCUUGUGUCAGUGUUUGAAGGUGGUUGUUUUAUUCCCUGGACAAGUUUACUCGGUGUGUGUGUGUGUGCUGUGGGUCCCUGUUCUGUACCUUGGCCAUGACCUGUGACUUCUGAUAUUGCUGUUUUGUACUUUCUGAUUAUAAAUGGGGUUUUUCCUGUGUGGCUGAUGUGGUUCCACAUGCUCAGUCCUGCUGUGGGAUUUAAAUCUGUCCUCACACACGCUCAGUGCUCCCUGUUUUCCCCAGGUCUGGUCUGACACUUCCAUCACAGGGUAAUUUGGGAAAAUCAGAAGGCUGCUUCUGUCUCCAAAGAGUCUUUCCCAGGCUGCUGGCCCUCACUGCCUGUGGUACUCCUCUUGUACAAAUACACAUUGGCUCUCAAUGGCUUGCUCUGUCAGAGGGACUUGGUCCUGCUCUGCUGCCACUGACAGGGACAUCUAUUAUUGAUGAGAAACAAAUCUGGUGUCUUCUGCAAUUUUUGUGUGAGUAUUGUU